AUAGAGAAGGAGGAAAAAAUAAACCUUGCGAUACAUAGAUGAGAAGGAGACAGACAUUGAGAGAACUACCACCGAUUGAAAGGGGAAUAGAGAAAUAGAUAAUAAAGAAAGGAGGAUUUGGUUCCAUUUUUGGUAUUUUUGGCUAACACAAGACAGCCACCAAGCUGAGCUGUGCGAUUACAAAGCAAGGACUGGUCUUUGGGAUAUCAGUAAUGUAUCCUUUUGAAUUUUGGCAAAAGUUGGUUUUUUUUUUUUUUUUUUUUUUUUUUUUUUUUUUUUUUUUUUUUAAGUAAUGGAUCAAGAUGAGGUUAAGGUAGUUAGUCAGUUUGGUCCAGGAUAAGUUAGAAUCUUAUAAGUUUGGGUUAUAGAGUGGUGUUUUACCUUUCAAUUUUUUUUUUUUUUUUUUUUUUUUUUUUUUUUUGGUGUGAAAUCAGAAGAAUGGGAUAUUAUGUGUGGCUGUGAUGAAAACACACAUGAUAUAUUAUAAUACUUCCACUCAAUAAAUUACAACUGAAAAUUUAAAAGAGCAAUGAAAUCCAAGAAAGAAUUUAAAAUGCAUGAGGACUAAUAUUCAGGUUCAUAAUCUUAGUUUCAAUUUUUCUUCAUUAAAAUUUGGAGUUCAUGUAGGAUUCAUAUACAACCACCUCAAGCAUGAUAAGACUUAACAUCAAAAUACUUGCAUUCCCUUCGUUGUUAUCCUCAUUAGAAUAAAUAUUCAAACUUGGAAUUAUAUACAACAAUUUGUAAGCAAGAAGUUAAUAUUAUAACAGAGCAUUGGAGACAUAAACUCAGGGUUGGAUCUUUGAGUUUCUUGGCCUUUUGUUCAUUGAAGAUUAAGUUCCUGUCUCUACUAGAGUUUAUUUAUGGUCAUAAGAUUUUUGUAAUUUUCCUUUUCCCAUAAAAACACACAUACACACUUAUAAAUUUGCAAAAUUUAGUAAUUUUUAGUAUCC